rnacentral:lncRNA from 1 species
GGAUGAUGAGAGGCCGUUUGUCCGAAUCAGAGCGUAGUCACGUAGCUGAGAAAGGGGGCCGGAGAGGACGUGGAGCUGCUCGUCCUGCGGGCCUCAGGCUGAAGCCGUUCUGCAGAUACCUCGGGUCUGUGCUCAGCCACUCAGAGCAAACCUGACUAAAGGCCAUUCUUUUGGAAAGAAGAGCUUUUCUUUUGAGCAAAAGCUGCCUGUUCAAGUUCCUCGGCAAGUUCCCAAAUCCCAGUACGGUAGAGUCCGGAGCGUCACAGCGAAGAGGACAAGAGGGUCCGACAGUGUCAUGUAUAUUGGACAGAGCAACGGAAUCACCUGCUCACGGCCACACUGCAGACCUGGGACCGGAACGUGGCGUUCUCCGUGCUCAAAUCCCUGCUUUUCCCCAAAUCUCCUUUGGUAAGCAAAACUGUGUGGCCUUGGCUGGGGCAUUUCUGAUUGGUUUCCUCUGAGCGCAUUCAGUCUCUCCAGGCUGGAAGAGCAGUCUUCAGCAUGUCGGGAGGAACAUGGCGUGGUAGUCAGGAGCACAGACUCAGGACCGUGCGAGCCGAACCCACAUCCUGGCUUGACCUCGGCAAAUGCCUUCACUUCUCUGAGUCUCCUACACACCAGGGGGGUGGUCAGAGCUACUCCAGGAAUUUCGGCUCCUUAAAUCAGUCCUGUCCUUAAUGGCAACUACCCCCAAAUUCACUGGUGUGAAGUUAGUCGGGGGGGCUGGUAUCACACCAU